rnacentral:ncRNA from 2 species
CGGGAUGCGACGAUCACGGGCAGACCAAGCAGGGUGUGCGGAGGAAACCGGUGCGAUUCCGGUGCGGUCCCGCCACUGUGACCGGGGAGUUCUCCCGUCGAGGUGCCACUGGGGCGCGAGCCCCGGGAAGGCGGCGGGAGCGCGGCGAUCCGGGAGCCAGGACACUCGCCCCUGCUCGAGACCGACC